rnacentral:lncRNA from 1 species
UUCUGGAAAUGUUAGUAUAGUAGGUGCUCCUUUAAUUCAUAUUAAUUUAUUAAUUUAGCAAGGCCACUAGUAUAGUUACCUUAUCUCACUAAGUUUCAAGACAAGAAUAUCUUAGGUUUGUUUAAUUUCAUGUGAAAAGCUAAAUUCAUUAUUCAGGUUGUGAUGAACUGAAACUUUCUUGUUUAAAGCUCUUGUUAAGUUCACUUCAAAUAGCAUUGAAUUUUUUUUGUGAACCUGCCUUCAUCAUGCUGGUUAAGGAAGCUUUGUAGGACUAUGUGUGACAAGAUACCUUUGAAAGAUCUGCUUCACUACAUGGAACCCGAGAGUUCAUUAAUGAUGGAGAUUUUGGGAAAUUAAUUUCUCAGUGAUGUGUCUUAAGUUACAAAACAUGAAGUGUCUUGCUUGUGGAACAUUGGUAGACUAUGAUGAAGAAAACAAUAUAAUCUUUUUUUGGUUUUAAUAAUAAU